UCAAUGUUUGGGGUGAAAUAAUAAAACUUACAAUGUUACGUCAAUUUGUUAAAUUAAUGAAUGUUAUCAAGAUUUAUCAAAAAACUUCAAUUCAUAAUGACAGGAACACAAGAAAAAUACGAAUUUGAUCAAACUCCAAGUUAAGCUACAAAUUAUGAUUUUUAGAUCAGAAACAAAAAUUCGAAAUAAAUAGAAAAAUGUACGGAAUAUUAAUCAGAGUGCUUAAUUCGAGGUAUAUAGGCACCUGCAAACUGAUUCUAUAGAUUUAUCUAUUUGAAUUUCCGAUAAAACUUAGUAAAACCCAAGUAAAACCCCUUUAACAUAGUAAAACCCGCUGGGUUUUAUUAAUUUACUACCCAGUAAAACCCAGUAAAACCCCAAAACCCCAACCCAGUAAAACCCGGGGUCGGAAUACCCUGGUGAUACCCACAAAAUCACGAACUGCACGUCAGAGCAACUACCCCUUCAUGAUUUAUGGAGGAUGGUAAGACAUUGAUUUAUCGGGGAUUAAAACUGCCACCGCCUGGUACUAAACUUAUAUAAAUAUACUGGUCAGUAAAAAUUUACCACAGGUACAUAUACUAAAACUUUAAUACCGAGCUAUUGCCACACGGUAUUAUGUAUCAAUGCCACUUUGGUAUAAAUACAUGAAUAUCGCUUGAAAUUAUUUUAAUACUGAGAUUCUAACAUAACCCUUUUUCAAGCUCGAAAUUUGUAGCGAGUUAUAUAAAAAAAUCGAGCCAAAAAUUAGGAGUCACAUUGUAAGUUAUAUCAGUUAACUCCAAACAUUAAGUUAAACCCCAAAACCCAGUAAAACCCAGGGGUAUGUAGGUGUUUUCAAGGUGAAACCUCGGGGUUUUCCGAACCCUGUUGUGCAUGCGUGCCAAUAUUUUAUUUUAUUUAUUUACUUACAUAUUUAUUUACAUUGAUAUGUAGCUAUCCCCCCAGCCAGGCUGGUGGUUGGGGGUGGGGAUCGCAACCGCUAACUUAUCCUCCUUACAGCCAAUUUGGAAACCAAGACAGAGCGUCUGCUCAGCUAGGACAGGCAUGGGCCAUUUUAAAACUCUGUUCCAAAAAUCCUAAGAUUUGCGAGACAGGAUAGCGCCCUUAGACGAGACACACUAUCAGCUUUGUCAUUUUACCUGCGAAUUAAUUCCACAAUUAAGUUGUUGAUGUUAUUUCAUAAAUAAGUUACAUAUGUAUUUCAAAUAAAAAAAAUAAAUCAAGUUUAACCUAA